rnacentral:rRNA from 1 species
AGUGAGGAAUAUUGGUCAAUGGGCGGAAGCCUGAACCAGCCAUCCCGCGUGAAGGAAGAAGGCCUUAUGGGUUGUAAACUUCUUUUCUGUUUGAAGAAUAAGCUUGUCGUGACAAGUGAUGCCGGAGGACAGGAAUAAGCAUCGGCUAACUCCGUGCCAGCAGCCGCGGUAAUACGGAGGAUGCAAGCGUUAUCCGGAUUUAUUGGGUUUAAAGGGUGCGCAGGUGGUUUAAUAAGUCAGUGGUGAAAGUCUGCCGCUUAACGGUAGGAUUGCCAUUGAUACUGUUGGACUUGAAUAUGGAUGAGGUAGGCGGAAUGUGUAGUGUAGCGGUGAAAUGCUUAGAUAUUACACAGAACACCGAUUGCGAAGGCAGCUUACUAAUCCAUGAUUGACGCUGAGGCACGAAAGCGUGGGGAUCAAACAGGAUUAGAUACCCUGGUAGUCCACGCUGUAAACGAUGAUCACUCGCUGUUUGCGAUAUACAGUAAGCGGCUAAGCGAAAGCGUUAAGUGAUCCACCUGGGGAGUACGAUCGCAAGGUUGAAACUCAAAGGAAUUGACGGGGGCCCGCACAAGCGGAGGAACAUGUGGUUUAAUUCGAUGAUACUCGAGGAACCUUACCUGGGCUUAAAUGGGGAGUGACAGCUGCUGAAAGGUGGUUUUCUUCGGACACUCUUCAAGGUGCUGCAUGGUUGUCGUCAGCUCGUGCCGUGAGGUGUCGGGUUAAGUCCCAUAACGAGCGCAACCCUUACUGUUAGUUGCCAGCGGGUAAAGCCGGGGACUCUAGCGGGACUGCCACCGUAAGGUGAGAGGAAGGUGGGGAUGACGUCAAAUCAGCACGGCCCUUAUGUCCAGGGCUACACACGUGUUACAAUGGCCGGUACAAAGGGCAGCUACACUGCGAAGUGAUGCUAAUCUCGAAAGCCGGUCCCAGUUCGGAUCGAAGUCUGCAACCCGACUUCGUGAAGUUGGAUUCGCUAGUAAUCGCGCAUCAGCCAUGGCGCGGUGAAUACGUUCCCGGGCCUUGUACACACCGCCCGU